ensembl:rRNA 5S_rRNA 5S ribosomal RNA
GCCAGCAGCCUUAUCACCCUGCAACUCACAACUGGCAACCCACUGAAGCUAAGCAGGUGUGAGCCUGGUCAGUACCUGGAUGGGAGACCUCCUGGGAAAAACUAAGGUUGCUGCUGGAA